rnacentral:rRNA from 1 species
UGGGGAAUAUUGGACAAUGGGCGGAAGCCUGAUCCAGCAACGCCGCGUGAGGGAUGACGGCCUUCGGGUUGUAAACCUCUUUUCAGUACCGACGAAGCGAAAGUGACGGUAGGUACAGAAGAAGGACCGGCCAACUACGUGCCAGCAGCCGCGGUAAUACGUAGGGUCCGAGCGUUGUCCGGAAUUAUUGGGCGUAAAGGGCUCGUAGGCGGUUUGUCGCGUCGGGAGUGAAAACAGCGGGCUUAACUCGUUGCUUGCUUUCGAUACGGGGCAGACUAGAGGUAUGCAGGGGAGAAUGGAAUUCCUGGUGUAGCGGUGAAAUGCGCAGAUAUCAGGAGGAACACCGGUGGCGAAGGCGGUUCUCUGGGCAUUACCUGACGCUGAGGAGCGAAAGUGUGGGGAGCGAACAGGAUUAGAUACCCUGGUAGUCCACACCGUAAAACGUUGGGCGCUAGGUGUGGGGUCCUUUCCACGGAUUCCGUGCCNUAGCUAACGCAUUAAGCGCCCCGCCUGGGGGAGUACGGCCGCAAGGC